AUGGAUGGGCUCGCGUGACAUUAGCUGGUUGGUAGGGUAACGGCCUACCAAGGCGACGAUGUCUAGGGGCUCUGAGAAGAGAAUCCCCCACACUGGUACUGAGACACGGACCAGACUCCUACGGGAGGCAGCAGUAAGGAAUAUUGGUCAAUGGAGGGAACUCUGAACCAGCCAUGCCGCGUGCAGGAAGACGGCCCUACGGGUUGUAAACUGCUUUUGCACGGGAAUAACCCUUUCUAUGUAUAGAGAGCUGAAUGUACCGUGAGAAUAAGGAUCGGCUAACUCCGUGCCAGCAGCCGCGGUAAUACGGAGGAUCCGAGCGUUAUCCGGAAUUAUUGGGUUUAAAGGGUGCGCAGGCGGGAUGCUAAGUCAGGGGUGAAAGACGGUGGCUCAACCAUCGCAGUGCCUUUGAUACUGGUGUCCUUGAAUGUACUUGAGGUAGGCGGAAUGUGGCAAGUAGCGGUGAAAUGCAUAGAUAUGCCACAGAACACCGAUUGCGUAGGCAGCUUACUAAGGUAUGAUUGACGCUGAGGCACGAAAGCGUGGGGAUCGAACAGGAUUAGAUACCCUGGUAGUCCACGCCCUAAACGAUGAACACUCGAUGUCGGCGAUAGACAGUCGGCGUCCAAGCGAAAGCGUUAAGUGUUCCACCUGGGGAGUACGCCCGCAAGGGUGAAACUCAAAGGAAUUGACGGGGGCCCGCACAAGCGGAGGAGCAUGUGGUUUAAUUCGAUGAUACGCGAGGAACCUUACCCGGGCUUGAAAGUUACUGAAGGUAGCAGAGAUGUUACCGUCCUUCGGGACAGGAAACUAGGUGCUGCAUGGCUGUCGUCAACUCGUGCCGUGAGGUGUUGGGUUAAGUCCCGCAACGAGCGCAACCCCUGUGGAUAGUUGCCAGCACAUAAAGGUGGGGACUCUAUCCAGACUGCC
rnacentral:rRNA from 1 species